CCGGUAGAGCAUGAUACGUGGAGCGGAUGAACAUAGCUUGCUCUCUGAUUUAGCGGCGGACGGGUGAGUAAUGCCUAGGAAUCUGCCUGGUAGUGGGGGACAACGUUUCGAAAGGAACGCUAAUACCGCAUACGUCCUACGGGAGAAAGCAGGGGACCUUCGGGCCUUGCGCUAUCAGAUGAGCCUAGGUCGGAUUAGCUAGUUGGUGGGGUAAUGGCCCACCAAGGCGACGAUCCGUAACUGGUCUGAGAGGAUGAUCAGUCACACUGGAACUGAGACACGGUCCAGACUCCUACGGGAGGCAGCAGUGGGGAAUAUUGGACAAUGGGCGAAAGCCUGAUCCAGCCAUGCCGCGUGUGUGAAGAAGGUCUUCGGAUUGUAAAGCACUUUAAGUUGGGAGGAAGGGCAUUAACCUAAUACGUUAGUGUUUUGACGUUACCAACAGAAUAAGCACCGGCUAACUUCGUGCCAGCAGCCGCGGUAAUACGAAGGGUGCAAGCGUUAAUCGGAAUUACUGGGCGUAAAGCGCGCGUAGGUGGUUCAGCAAGUUGAAGGUGAAAUCCCCGGGCUCAACCUGGGAACUGCCUCCAAAACUACUGAGCUAGAGUACGGUAGAGGGUAGUGGAAUUUCCUGUGUAGCGGUGAAAUGCGUAGAUAUAGGAAGGAACACCAGUGGCGAAGGCGACUACCUGGACUGAUACUGACACUGAGGUGCGAAAGCGUGGGGAGCAAACAAGAUUAGAUACCCUGCUAGUCCACGCCGUACUCUAUGUAUACUACCCG
rnacentral:rRNA from 1 species